rnacentral:rRNA from 1 species
CCUACGGGAGGCAGCAGUGAGGAAUAUUGCUCAAUGGACGGAAGUCUGAACCAGCCAUGCCGCGUGCAGGAAGACGGCUCUCUGAGUUGUAAACUGCUUUUGUACAAGGGUAAACCUGAAUACGUGUAUUCAGCUGAAUGUACUGUACGAAUAAGGAUAGGCUAAGUCUGUGCCAGCAGCCGCGGUAAUACGGAGGAUCGAAGCGUUACGCGGAUUUAUUGGGUUUAAAGGGUGCGUAGGCGGUAUGAUAAGUUAGAGGUGAAAUGACCGGGCUUAACUCGAGAACUGCCUUUAAUACUGUGGAGCUGGAGAGUAGGUGCGGUAAGCGGAAUGUAUGGUGUAGCGGUGAAAUGCGUAGAUAUCA